rnacentral:rRNA from 1 species
AACGAACGCUGGCGGCAUGCCUAACACAUGCAAGUCGAACGAGACCUUCGGGUCUAGUGGCGCACGGGUGCGUAACGCGUGGGAACCUGCCCUUAGGUUCGGAAUAACUCCCCGAAAGGGGUGCUAAUACCGGAUAAUGUCUUCGGACCAAAGAUUUAUCGCCUUUGGAUGGGCCCGCGUUGGAUUAGCUAGUUGGUAGGGUAAAAGCCUACCAAGGCGACGAUCCAUAGCUGGUCUGAGAAGAUGAUCAGCCACACUGGGACUGAGACACGGCCCAGACUCCUACGGGAAGCAGCAGUGGGGAAUAUUGGACAAUGGGCGAAAGCCUGAUCCAGCAAUGCCGCGUGAGUGAUGAAGGCCUUAGGGUUGUAAAGCUCUUUUACCCGGGAUGAUAAUGACAGUACCGGGAGAAUAAGCUCCGGCUAACUCCGUG